rnacentral:rRNA from 1 species
CCUACGGGAGGCAGCAGUGGGGAAUAUUGCACAAUGGGGGAAACCCUGAUGCAGCGACGCCGCGUGAGUGAAGAAGGAAUUCGUUAUGUAAAGCUCUAUCAGCAGGGAAGAAAAUGACGGUACCUGAGUAAGAAGCCCCGGCUAACUACGUGCCAGCAGCCGCGGUAAUACGUAGGGGGCAAGCGUUAUCCGGAUUUACUGGGUGUAAAGGGAGCGUAGACGGCAGUGCAAGUCUGGAGUGAAAGGCUGGGGCUCAACCCCCGGACUGCUCUGGAAACUGUAAGGCUGGAGUGCAGGAGAGGUAAGUGGAAUUCCUAGUGUAGCGGUGAAAUGCGUAGAUAUUAGGAGGAACACCAGUGGCGAAGGCGGCUUACUGGACUGUAACUGACGUUGAGGCUCGAAAGCGUGGGGAGCAAACAGGAUUAGAUACCCCAGUAGUC